UACGAAGGGGGCUAGCGUUGUUUGGAUUUACUGGGCGUAAAGCGCACGUAGGCGGGUCGUUAAGUCAGGGGUGAAAUCCCGGAGCUCAACUCCGGAACUGCCUUUGAUACUGGCGACCUUGAGGCUGGAAGAGGUUAGUGGAAUUCCCAGUGUAGAGGUGAAAUUCGUAGAUAUUGGGAAGAACACCAGUGGCGAAGGCGGCUAACCUG
rnacentral:rRNA from 1 species